ensembl:lncRNA
GCGAGGCUGAUGAGGCCGCAGGUGACGGCGUGGAAGCCGGAGACGAUGAGGCCGCAGGUGACGGCGUGGAAGCCGGAGACGAAGAGGCCGCAGGUGACGGCGAGGAAGCCGGAGACGAAGAGGCCGCAGGUGACGGCGAGGAAGCCGGAGACGAAGGCACUGCAGCUGGCGGCGUAGAUGGUGAGGCUGCAGCUGGCGUGAAUGAAGAGGCGGCAGCUGGCAUGGAAGCCAGAGACGGAAGCGCUGCAGGCGGCGGCGUGGAAGCCGGAGGCGGCGGCGCUGCAGGCGGCGGCGUGGAAGCCGGGGCGUUAGAUGGUGAGGCUGCCGCUGGCGUGGAUGGUGAAGCUGCAGCUGGCGGCGGCGUGGAAGCCGGAGACGGAGGCGCUGCAGCUGGCGUGAAUGAAGAGGCGGCAGCUGGUGUGGAAGCUAGAGACGGAAGCGCUGCAGGCGGCGGCG